rnacentral:misc_RNA from 1 species
GGGGAGUCAAUGCCGUAUGGAAGUAAGGAAGAAGCAUAUAAGAAUGCUACUACUUUGUCGUAUCUAACAGCUGAACAAGCACUGGCUGAUUAUGCUGUGUUAAUCAUUGAGCUUAAAAGAAAUUUAUCUGCACAGGCAUGCCCUGUUGUGUUAUUUGGUGGAUCAUAUGGUGGGAGUAAGUGAUGUAGCAUUCAGUAGUUU